rnacentral:piRNA from 1 species
UACGCAUAUAUUCAUGGGUUCAGGUGAAC